UCUUAUGAAGUUAGCGGCGGACGGGUGAGUAACACGUGGGUAACCUGCCCAUAAGACUGGGAUAACUCCGGGAAACCGGGGCUAAUACCGGAUAACAUUUUGCACCGCAUGGUGCGAAAUUGAAAGGCGGCUUCGGCUGUCACUUAUGGAUGGACCCGCGUCGCAUUAGCUAGUUGGUGAGGUAACGGCUCACCAAGGCAACGAUGCGUAGCCGACCUGAGAGGGUGAUCGGCCACACUGGGACUGAGACACGGCCCAGACUCCUACGGGAGGCAGCAGUAGGGAAUCUUCCGCAAUGGACGAAAGUCUGACGGAGCAACGCCGCGUGAGUGAUGAAGGCUUUCGGGUCGUAAAACUCUGUUGUUAGGGAAGAACAAGUGCUAGUUGAAUAAGCUGGCACCUUGACGGUACCUAACCAGAAAGCCACGGCUAACUACGUGCCAGCAGCCGCGGUAAUACGUAGGUGGCAAGCGUUAUCCGGAAUUAUUGGGCGUAAAGCGCGCGCAGGUGGUUUCUUAAGUCUGAUGUGAAAGCCCACGGCUCAACCGUGGAGGGUCAUUGGAAACUGGGAGACUUGAGUGCAGAAGAGGAAAGUGGAAUUCCAUGUGUAGCGGUGAAAUGCGUAGA
rnacentral:rRNA from 1 species